UUGAAUUUUGGUGUAUGAUGCACGAGAAAUUUUGAAUUUUUAAGUAAUAGUUUAAUUCUAUUAAAUUCAAU
rnacentral:tRNA from 1 species